GAUCCUGGCUCAGGAUGAACGCUAGCGACAGGCUUAACACAUGCAAGUCGAGGGGUAACAGGGUGUAGCAAUACACCGCUGACGACCGGCGCACGGGUGAGUAACGCGUAUGCAACCUGCCUUUGACAGAGGGAUAGCCCAUGGAAACGUGGAUUAAUACCUCAUAGUCUCUUUUCCUUCCUGGGGAAUAGAGUAAAACGUGAGUGGUCAAAGAUGGGCAUGCGUCCUAUUAGGCAGUUGGACCGGGG
rnacentral:rRNA from 1 species